UUUUUUGAAUUUUCCCUUGAGCUGGAUUUAUUCCUGGUGCUGUUGUCUAUUUCUCUUAUGAUCUGCCCAAAGGUGAUGAUGGUGCUGCAGCCUCAGGAUCCUAUCUUCAAGAAGAGGUCUUCUCUUUGCAAGGACUGGAUACUAUGAUUGAGAUGAAUCUCCAGCACGCAACCCCCCUGCUUCCGUACAAGAUCAAAAGCCUGCUGCUGAUAAGAAGAAAAUUAAGCCAAAGUGGUUGAAACUGUGAUAUGAUUGAUCUUAGGGUUAUACUUUACUCUAAUAAAGUGUUAUCUGUAAUCCUUUGUUCUGUAAUCAGUUGUCACUAGAAGCUAAAGCAUAUGUGCAUGGUCUCGUUACUUCAAAUGGAUGGUCACUUUCUGGAGUAGUAUGCCAAAGAGGAGGUUGAAACUUGGAAAUAUGUUCAAACAUAUUGAUUGAAAAUGAACUUAAGUGUG